UGUUUAACUAAAAAUAAUCUAUUCAACCCCCUUCUAGAUUAUUAUUGACCUUUCACCUUCUCUUUACCCUUGUCCUUGCCCGAGAGUUCACCCCGUUCUGCCUUAACUGAAAGUUUUAAGGAAAGCAAGGAUGAGCAAUAAUUUUGCCCAGCAAGUAAUAUCGUAAUAAGGAAAAAGCUUAUAUAUGGUUCAAUCUUCAAG
rnacentral:lncRNA from 1 species